AAAUUUCAACCGCUCAGCGUCGCCGUCGCGUUAAUUCGGUAUGCGCCAUACAAAUUGUAUGGACAUGAGAAUUUUUUGACAGUCAUUUGCCGCUGACGCUUUUAAAUCGUCCGAAUCGGUGAAAUGCAAUAGUGCCAAACUUUUAAAAUUAACUAUUUUAAUCUAUGAUCCAGAAAUGUGUGAUACAUAUAAUGAAUUACUGUGGGAACAAAAUAAGAGGCAAUCACGUUUUUUGUCGGUUUUCCUCAAAAAUUUCAUAAAAAAAUGUACGAAAAAAUAAACAUAUACAUUUUUUAAAUAUCGCGAAGGAUUCACUCGUAAUCCAAAUAUCACGAUAAAUAUUGAACGUGUAAGGCGCCUGCUACACCAUUGUGAUUCAUGCGAAUAAAGAUAACAUGAAAUCUGAAUUUUGAAAUAUAUUUUGAAACUGUAUAAUAUGGUAACCAUUAUUUAAAUAUUGUAUACUAGAUGUCGCCCUUAUUAUAAAUUAAAACAUCGCCCAACAUCGCUUAGCAUGAGUUCGAUGAGCUCGCUUCCUGAUAUUUCAACAGAGAAUCACUUUUGAUUUUUCCAUCUGGAUGAGUACACGUGCCAAAGAAUUUAGUUGUAAUUGCAGAGGCAGUAUAGGAAAUUGGAACUGGACAAUGGAUAAAGUUGAUUUUGUGUGGGGUAAUACCUGACUAUUCGAAUUCUUUAAAGAGCAACUCUGGGAAACUUAUUGAAUAUUUUAACUGGAAGUUACAAUGUUUUCUACAGCGAAAUAUUAAAUUUAUAAUCUGCGCUUUUAGAGAAAAAUGAUGAAAAUGCGAUUCUCUCAUGAUUGGAUGUGUGACAAGUCCCGCAAUGAUGGGAUUCAAAUUCACUAUGAGAGAUGCGAUCACAUGGUUCACAUUCUUCCAGACGUUACACGUAUGUCCUUAUACAAGCCUCUAAAAAAUGGAUAUGUUGCAGUAUCUUAGAUUGUCUAAAUUUAUCAUUUGAUUAUCUGUGUAUGAAUAAAACUGUAUUGCAUUUAAUAAAAAACCAAUAUAUGUAAACUAA